rfam:Gloeophyllum trabeum ATCC 11539 unplaced genomic scaffold GLOTRscaffold_00003, whole genome shotgun sequence.
GGACCCUUAGCUCAAUCGGUAGAGCUUUGUACUUAUGUGGAUGCAAUCCCUCAAUGCAAGGGUCCCGAGUUCGAUUCUCGGAGGGUCCA